GGAGGGUWCGAGCGUUGUCCGGAAUCACUGGGCGUAAAGGGCGCGUAGGUGGCUGGGGAAGUCGGCGGUGAAAGCCCGGAGCUCAACUCCGGGUCGGCCGUCGAGACUCCUCGGCUCGAGCUCACUAGAGGCAGAUGGAAUUCCGGGUGUAGCGGUGGAAUGCGUAGAGAUCCGGAAGAACACCGGUGGCGAAGGCGGUCUGCUGGGGUGAGGCUGACACUGAUGCGCGACAGCGUGGGGAGCAAACAGGAUUAGAUACCCUGGUAGUCCACGCCGUAAACGAUGGGCACUAGGUGCCUGGGGGAGCGACCCCCUGAGUGCCGGCGCUGACGCAUUAAGUGCCCCGCCUGGGGAGUACGGCCGCAAGGCUG
rnacentral:rRNA from 1 species